rnacentral:rRNA from 1 species
UACGUAGGGCGCAAGCGUUAUCCGGAAUUAUUGGGCGUAAAGAGCUCGUAGGCGGUUUGUCGCGUCUGCCGUGAAAGUCCGGGGCUCAACUCCGGAUCUGCGGUGGGUACGGGCAGACUAGAGUGAUGUAGGGGAGACUGGAAUUCCUGGUGUAGCAGUGAAAUGCGUAGAUAUCGAGAGGAACACCUGCGGCGAAGGCGGGUUGCUGGGCUGAUACUGACGCUGAGGCGCGAAAGCCAGGGGAGCGAACGGG